AAAGAAAAAUAGAGGAGAGUUCGACAAUAUUACGUAAAAAGAAUUCUGCUAAAUUACGAUAGCCUCAAGUUUGCAAAUUUUCUCCCGAUAACAACGGUAUGAACUUUAAUCCAUUGUUUGUAUAUUUGCGAUUUACAUAAUUCUUGGUUACAAAGGGUAUUUUUGGAAUAACUGUUUUUUCGAUUUGUUGCUUACAGAGUAUCUUUUUGGAAUAACAGAUUUGGAAUAACUGUUUUUUUUAUUUCAUUACUAUUUUUUAUUGCAAUAUAGGACAGUAGCAUGGGCAUGCAUAUGCUAAAUUUUAUGUGAUCUAUUGAAAUUUAGUAUGUACAAGUUUAUUGGUGAUGUCAACUUAUUAGUAUACUAACUUAAAUUAGGCUGCGUAGCUAAAUACUUACAUUGAAAUUAAUAUACCAAGUUAUAUUACCCUGUGUCGCAAAAUAAUCUUAAUUAACAAGUGAACUUUGAUUUAGCAUAAUGUGGUUUCUGUUUUUAACUGAGUGGUUAUACGUCCAGACUUGCUGAAACUUAUGAAGUUCCUACUUUUCCUUUUAAUUUUCAAAAUUACAGAAUUUGUCUCACAAUUUCUUCUCAUGUCCUUUAACAUUCGAAAGAGCUUCAGCAAACUUUUGUUUAUCUUUAUUGUCUGUCGAUGCUCAACCAAGGAAGUGUUAUAUCCGCUACUGAUAUUUGUCCUUCAUUCACUUGACAAUGUCUUUUUACUAUGUUAUUACAUUGAUAUGUUGUAGCGAUUCUUAUUAUUUCCUUGAUCCUAUUUCAGAUAUGGCUAAACAAGAACACGUUCAAAUUACUCCAACUACAAAUUCUCAAAUUCAACGAAGGGGACAAUGUAGAAGGGUAUGCCGUUAAAAUCCAAGAAAUCUUUCAAAUUUCUUAAACUUCCAAAUUUUCCAAUUUAAGGCUGAAACUCGUCAAACGACAUCCGGUUUCAACCGAACUUUACAAGAAGCGCUUAAACAACAUAUAUGAUUUGUACCGGGCGUCGGAACCAAAAUACGAGCCCUAUACUAUUAAUUUUUUUAUCAAAUUUUAUUUUUAUUUACCUUAAACAUUUUCAGAAAAUAAUUUCACUCAAAAAUUCAUUCCUCGGGACUAGGACCUUGGAAUUCGAUUCCGGAAAUACGCCCGAGUCUCAUAUUUUUCUAUGGACCUUUUGAGACCGUCCAAUCACGGGUCCGAGUCUGUUUACCAAAAAUGUUGACCAAAGUUAACUUUAAUCAUAUAAAUAUCAAAAUUAAUCAAUUAUUUUUUACAGAAUUCACAUUUAAACUUUUUGUCGGUGCCUAGAUUGCGCACGCAAAUCGAGGUAACUAAAAGUGAGGUAUUCAAGGUUCCGGAAGCACGAGAAAAGGGAGAAAUCCGGUGAUAACCCUUUGGGUCGUCACAUUAUCCACCUCUAAAACAACCGUUCGUCCUCAAUCGGACAAAUGAAAGAAGUACCCGAGUCAGGAAAUAGAAGAGGAUAACGGCUCCGCAUAUCAGAUUCGAACUCCCAAGUCGAUGCCUCGAGAGGCUUACCUCUCCACUGAACACGCACUGAAGGAAAACUCUUCGACCUCAUCUGUCGAACCUUCCGGUUUAGAAUAGCCACCGGCUCCUCCUCAUAAGAGAUAUCCUUGUCCAAUUGGAUAGUGCUGAAAUCUAACAUGUGUGAUGGAUCUCCAUGGUACUUUCGGAGCAUGGAUACAUGAAACACUAGAUGCACAACUGACAAACUAGGUGGCAAGGCAAGUUAAUAAGCCACCUCUCCCACACGAUCAAGAAUGUCAAAUGGACCAAUGAACCUAGGGCUAAACUUACCCUUCUUCCCGAAUCUCAUCACGCCCUUCAUCGGCGAUACACGGAGCAACACUCGCUCACCAACCAUGAAAGCAACAUCUCUGACCUUGCGGUCAACAUAACUCUUUUGCCUAGACUGAGCUAUAUGAAGCCCAUCCUGAAUAAUCUUGACAUUAUCCAAGGCCUCCUGAACCAAAUCUGUACCCAACAACUGAGCCUCUCCCGGUUCAAACCAUCCAACCAGAGAACGACACCAUCUACCCUACAAAGCUUCAUAAACCAUCUCGAUGCUUGAUAGUUGUUAUUAUAGGAAAACUCUACUGAAGGGGGGAACUCAUCCCACGAACCCUCAAAAUCAAUAACACAAUCUCGGAGCAUAUCCUCUAGAAUCUGAAUGGUCCUCUCGGACUGACCGUCCAUCUGGGGAUGAAAUAUUGUACUCAACUGAACCUGGGUGCCCAAAUCUUGCUGAACUACCUUCCAAAAAUGCGAGGUAAACUGUGCACCCCAAUCCGAAAUGAUAGAUAUAGGCACCCUAUGAAGGCAAACAAUCUCCAUGAUAUAAAUCUCAGCUAGUCUCUCGGACAAUUAGGUGUUGGCAACCGGAACAAAAUGCGCUGAUUUGGUCAGCCUAUCAACAAUAACCCUUAACCGCAUCAAACUUCUUCCUAGUCAUCGGAAGUCCAGUAACGAAAUUCAUGGUAAUUCUCUCCCACUUCCACUCGGGAAGCUCAAUCCUCUGAAAUGAACCACCAGGCCUCUGAUGCUCAUAGUUAACCUGUUGACAGUUCAAACACCGCGCUACAUAUGCCACAAUAUCUUUUUUCAUUCUACGCCACCAAUAAUAUUACCGCAAAUCCUGAUACAUCUUUGCUGCUCCUGAUGAAUAGAAUACUGGGAACUGUGAGAUUCCUCUAGAAUCAACUCUCGAAGACCAUUAACAUUUGGCACACAAAUUCGCCCUUCCAAUCUCAAAACUCCAUCAGCAUCUAAGGUGACCUGCUUAGCACCUCCUCGCUGAACUACAUCUUUAAGGACACAUUAAUGGGGAUCAUCAAACUGCCGAUCGCGGAUACGCUCCAAUAGUAAAGAGCGAGCGACCAUGCAAGCUAGCACUCGAUUAGGCUCAGAAAUAUCCAAUCUUAUAAAUGGGUUGGCUAAGGCUUGAACAUCCAAAGCAAGCAGUCUCUGACUGACCGGAAUAUAAGCAAGGCUGCCCAUACUGGCUGACUUCCUGCUCAAAGCAUUGACCACCACAUUUGCAUUUCCCGGUGAUAUAAAAUGGUGAUAUCAUAAUCCUUCAACAAUUCCAACCACCUUCUCUACCUGAAAUUCAACUCCUUCUGUUUAAACAAGUACUGAAGACUCUUGAAAUCAGUGAAUACUUCACAUGUCACGCCAUACAAAUAAUGUCUCCAAAUUUUCAAUGCGUGAACAAUCACUCCCAACUCCAGAUCUUGCACUGGAUAGUUCUUCUCAUGAAUCUUUAAUUGCCUCGAAGCAUACGCAAUGACAAUGCCAUCCUGCAUCAACACUGCACCAAGCCCAGUAUGGGAAGCAUCACAAUAGACCGUAUAAGGUCCCGAACCUGUGGGCAAAACUAACACUGGUGCUGUGGUCAAGGAUGUCUUGAGCUUCUGGAAGCUCGCCUCACAUUCAUCUGAUUAUUCGAAUUGGGUACCUUUCUGGGUCAAUCUGGUCAUCGGGGUUGCAAUAGAUGAAAACCACUCCACAAACCACAGAAAAUGACCUGCUAAUCCCAAGAAACUCCGGAUCUCUGUGGCUGAUGUUGGUCUAGGCCAGUUCUUGACUGCCGCAAUCUUCCUUGGAUCAACCUGAAUACCCUCUGCCAUCGCAACAUGACCCAGGAAUGCAACUAAACUUAACCAAAACUCACACUUUAAAACCUUUUCAUAUAGUUGACUAUAUUUCAGAGUCUGAAGAGCCACUUUGAGAUGCUACGCAUGCUCCUCAUGACUGCGGGAGUAUAUCAAUAUAUAAUCAAUGAAGACUAUUACAAACAAGUAUAAAUAAGGCAUGAACACUUGAUUCAUCAAUUCCAUAAAAGCUGCUGGGGCAUUGGUCAACCCAAAGAGAUGACCAGGAACUCAUACUGUCCGUAUCGAGUGCAGAAUGUUGUCUGAGGGACAUCUGAUGCCCUAAUCUUCAACUGAUGGUAGCCAGAUCUCAAGUCUAUCUUUGAAAACACCUUGGCACCCUGAAGCUGGUCAAAUUCAUCAAUCAGCGGCAGUGGAAACUUAUUUUUGAUUGUAACCUUAUUCAAUUGCCGGUAAUCAAUGCACAUUCUCAUCGAACCAUCUUUCUUCUUUACAAAUAAUACCGGCGCGCCUCAUGGCGAAACAUUGUGUCUAAUGAAACCCUUUUCAAGUAAAUCCUGCAAUUGUUCCUUCAAUUUCUUUAACUCCGGCGGGGCCAUGCGAUAUGGUGGAAUAGAGAUGGGCUGCCUGUCGCGAACCAAAUCAAUGCAAAAAUCAAUAUCCCUGUCAGGUGGCAUACCCGACAGGUCUGAAAGGAAAACCUCGGGUAACUCACGAACCACGGGUAAUAAUCUAUAGAGGGACCCUCAGGAGUGGAAUCACGAACGUAGGCUAGAUAAGCCAAACACCCUUUCUCAACCAUACACCGAGUCUUAACAUACGAAAUAACACUUUGGGUAGUAUGACCAGAAAUUCCUUUCCACUCUACACGUGGAAAUUUCGGCAGAGCUAAGGUCAUAGUCUUGGCAUGGAAAUCCAAGCUGGCAUGAUAUGGAGAUAGCCAGUCUAUUCCUAAUAUAAUAUCUAAGUUGACCAUAUCUAGAAACAAUAAAUCAACACGAGUCUCAAGACCCCAAUCACCACAAUACAAGACCGAUUAACUCGAUCAACCAUACUAGAAUUACCCACUGGUGUAGACACAUAAACAAGAACACCCAGUGGAUCACUAGGCUGGACUAGAUAUGGUGAAAAAUAAGAAGACACGUACAAAUAUGUAGACCUAGAGUCAAAUAGCAUUGAAGCCUCUCUAUCACAAACCAGAAUAGUACUUGUGAUAACUGCAUCUGAUGAUUCUGCCUCUGGAUGGCCUAGAAGUGCGUAACAUCGGGGUUGGGCCCCACUACCUUGAGCAAUAUCUCUAGGAUGAUUAGAUGUGGCUGGCAUCUACCUCUAUCGGUCUGAGCUUCACCUCUAUGACCUAUACCUCCACCUCUAAUACCCUUGACACCACCUCUAGCUGGCUGGGUAAGCUUUGGAACUUCCAGUGCCUGAAUCAAAGCACGAGCAUUCUGGUGCUGGGAGCUACUCCAAGCUCGAGGGAAAUACCUAGCAAUGUGCCUCAUGUAUCCACACGUGAAACAUGCCCUCGGCUACUGGGGAUAACGGCCCUAGACACUCUAAAGUGGUGGUGCACUGAUAGGUGCUGAUGGUGUACUAUACAACUGCUGAUUAGAGUAAUGCGGCUGAGAACCACGAUCACCUAAUGUACCGUGAGAAACAUGAAGAGAUGACUGAAAAGGCUUAGGAGGAUGGCCUCUACCAUAAGAAUCUCUACCUCCAGAUGAGGCCCCACUGGAUCUGCCUGAUUUACGGGGCCUCUUAUUCGACCAAUGACCUCCUCCCUAAGGCAGGGCCAUCUUGAUCCGGUGGGCUGCAUUGGCCGCCUCCUAAAAAGUGAUUUCAUUCCCGGCUCCCACAGCCAUCUGAAGACGAAUUGGAUGAAUUAAUCCAUCAAUAAACCUUCUCACCCUCUCUUUAUCGGUAGGAAGUAUUAUGAUGGCACGCCGAGCUAGAUCAAUGAACCGGGUCUCACACUGUGUGACUGACAUAGGCCCUACUAGAGAUGAUCAAACUGCCUGCGGAGAGCAUCUCGCUGAGUAGCUGGGAGAAAAUUCUCCAAAAAUAAUUCUGAAAAUUGAUCCCAUGUCAAUGAUGGCGACCCUGCUGGCCUGGGUAAACAAAAAUCUCUCCACCAAGUCUUGGCGGAUCCUGCUAGACGAAAAGUGGCAAAGUCGAUCCCAUUGGUCUCUACCAUACCCAUAGUUCGUAGAACCUCAUGAUAGUUGAAUAAGAAAUCUUGAGCAUCCUCUGAAGGAGUGCCACUGUAUAUGGAAGUGAAAUGUUUAGUGAAUUUGUUCAAUCUCCAUAAAGCAUCAACAGACAUAGCUGCACCCUCACCAGUCUGAGCCACUAUACCUGGCUGAACUACCACAAGUGGCUGAACUACUGGAACCUGAACCUGGGGAGCUACUGGCUCCAGAGUGCGCGUAGCAGGAGUCGGGGUCCCUCCUCUAGCCCUUAGAUGUGGCUGGCACUGCUGGAAGCAAACCUGCUCUAGAGAUGACCUCCGUAAAGCCCACCAAUCAGACCAAAGCGUCCUGAAGAACUAGAGCUACUAUUGAGGCCUCGGGCUAUACAUCAGUAGAUAAGGAAGUGCAUGUUCUUGCCAUAUGCGGAAGAACAGAGUAAAAAUUCAAUUAGUAUUCAAAGAACAAGUUUGCAUGACAUGAAAGAAUAAAGAUGAAAUUGUUUCCUAGCUCUGUAGCCUCUGGGGGAUAAAUACAGACGUCUCCAUAUCGAUCCCUCAGACUCUACUAAGGUUGUUCAUGAAUUGUGAGACCUAUGCAACCUAGGGAUCUUAUACCAACUUGUUACAGCCCGAAUUUUCCAUCAUCGGGAGUCGUGAUGGCAUCUACUAGUGGAAGCUAGGCAAGCCAACUCCUACUUAUUUUUUCAUUUUUAGCAAUUUUUAUUCUAACCAUCUAUGAAUAAUAAAACGACUGUAGCGGAAUAAAUUAAUUUAGCGGAAGACUUAACUAAAUAAUACUAGAUACGAUACAAAAAUUCAAACAGAAAUAUCUACCCAAUACUGGUGUCACAAUACUCACAAACUUCUAAGAAUACUAAACACAACCGUUUGAAAGAAAUAUAAAAUUAUUUGUCUCAAAUAUAUGAGAUAAAAGACUUAAUAUAAAUAUAGAGGAGACGCGGGGUUCUACAGACGCCUGCAAGGCUAUCUCAAUAUCUUGCUGAUUGGAAUGCUAACACUCGCACUACUAUUGCUGCUACUGUCCGAAACAUGUAUCUGCACAAAAAAGCGCAGAAUGUAGAAUCAGCACAACCGACCCCAUAUGUUGGUAAGUGUCUAGCUUACCCUGUCGAAGUACUGACAAGGCUAGAACCAGACACUCAUAUAAACCUGUACAAUUCAAAAUAUAUAUACAACAAGAAUGACAGGAAACAACAUACAAUAUUUGGGAGGGGGAAAAUAUGCUCUGGGAUAGCAACAAAAUAUAAUAACACAAGUAGAAUAGAGGAAUUAAAUCCACUUUCAAACUCAACUCAUCUUUUUGCAGGCGUGCAACCCGAUCCCAUUUCAUUUCAUAUCUUGUGGUAGGCAUACCACCCACUCCCAUUUCAAUUCAUAUCAUGUGGUAAUCAUACCACCUGCUCCCAUUUCAAUAUUCUUUGUGGUAGGCGGACCACUCGCUCCCAUUUCAUCUUUAUCACAAUGCACAAUAUGUUACCAGAAAGAAACAAAUAACGAUUAAUCAAUAUAAAUUAUGGUAGGCGUACCACUCGCUUCCAUUUCAACGUAACUUUUGGUAGGCGUAUCCCCACUCCCAUUUCACUUUUAAUAUAGUCCAAAAUAUAUUAUCGACAAGAGAAAACAAUAACUCGGUGCCGAGGCUCAAAAAAUAAUUCUUUCAUAAAAUCAAAUAAGAAUGUGGAAUUAUCAAUUUAAGACCCAUGGUCAUGCUCGACCCCUAACGUAUAGAUACUCAUCACCAUGCCAAUAUGUCGGACACAACACAUAACAAGUAGCAAAUAUAUUUAACUCCUAUUCCCUCAAGCUAUGGUAGACAAAACACUUACCUCGAAGGUUUACGACUAACUCAAUACUUAAGGAAUGCCUUUCCUUUCAAAUUUGGCUCCAAUUCAAUCGUAUCUAUGCACAAUUGAUUUAAUAUCAUCAAUAAUACUUAACAAUCCAACCCAAAUAGCUACAUAUAUUUUCUAAAACAUUCUGCCCAAAAAUCUAAAAAUCGACCUCGGGCCCACGUGGUCAAAACACGAGGUUCGAACCAAAUUCUGAUUACCCAUUCACUCACAAGCCCGAAUAUAUAAUUUAUUCUCAAUUUAGGCCCAAAAACGAGGUCUAAAUCACCAAAUCUUUGAAAACCCUAACUCUACCUAAUUCUCUAAUUUUCUACCUAUUUUCACAUGUUUAGGCCUAAGAAUUUAGCUAAUGUUGACGGAAAAUGAAGAAAACGAGUUAGAAAAUACUUACCCAAUGAACUUUGGUGAAGAAAUGCUCCAAGAAUCGUCCAAGAGCAUUGAAGUAGAGAGAGUUUGAGAAAUGGGAUGAAAAUCUUGUUUCUGUUCUGUUUCCAGAACUUAAAAUCAUUGGGCAUAAAAAUUCCCUUCGCGUUCGCAACAGGGGGGUCCCGUUCGCGAAGGGUUAGGCUGAUAGUGCAUCGUGUUCGCAUGAGAAAGGGUGCGAACGCAUAGAGGAAAAUUCUGGGGGUUUCAGAGUUGGCCUACGCGAACGCGUGAGGCCUUACGCGAUCGUGUUGAAGAGACAGGUCAGGCUCCGCGAACGCGGAGCCUUCACGCAAACGCGUAGAGGAUGGCUGGGGUCCGGGAUUUUGUUGUACAUGAAUGAGAGAAGGGACUCAGGAAUGCGAAGAAAGGGGAAGAGGAAGCUACGCAAACACGAGAUAAGGGAUGCGAACGCGAACACGAAAAAGGAAUCCACUGUGUAUAUGUAGCAAAUUUUCUAAGUCCGAAACCACCCCGAUACCCUGUCCUAAAUUCACCUGAUCUCUCGGGGCUCCAAACCAAAUAUGCACACUGGCUCAAAAACAUCAUAUGAACUUGCUCGCGCGUUCAAAUCGCCAAAAUAACAUCAAAAUUAAAGAAUUGAGCUUUAAAAUACAAGAAAUCUUUCAAAUUUCAUAAACUUACAAAUUUUCAAAUUUAAGGCCAAAACACGUCAAAUGACGUCCAUUUUCAACCAAACUUUACAGGAAGUGCUUAAAAACAUAAAUGACAUGUACCGAGCAUCAGAACCAAAAUACUAGCCUGAGACCAUUACUUUAUGAUCAAAUUUCAUUUUCAUUUACCUUAAACAUUUUUAGAAAAUAGUUUUGCUCAAAAAUUCAUUCCUUGGGCUUGGGACCUCGGUAUUCGAUUCUGGAAACACGAAUUAUGGGUCCGUGUCCGUUCACCAAAAAUGUUGACCAAAGUCAACUUUAAUCAUACAAAUAUCAAAAUUUAUCAAUUUUUUUUCACAGAAUUUACAUUUAAACUUUCUGGCUACGUGCCCAAUCUGCACACGCAAAUCAAGGCAACUAAAAGUGAGGUUUCAAGGCCUUAGAAGUAUGGAAAAAGGGAUAAAUCCGAUGAUGACCUUUUGGGUCGUCACAGAGAAGGUCCUCUUUCUCUCUAGGUUCCAUCAACAACAACUAAGAUCUAUUUAAUUGUCCCCUCCAAUACCAUUCUCAAUUCCUCCGGAAUCUCUAGAUAUGAUAUAUUCCAAUUACACUACUGAACCCUUAGCCCCUCUAAACACUAUUUUAUACACCCCCCCCCCAAUCAUCUUUCAAAGAGGAACUCCUUGCAAACUCCACAGAAAAACUCAUCUCACUCCAGAUGCCAAACUCCAUUGCACCAAUAGAAAUGGGGAACACCAAGGAGGAUACUGAGCAUGAAAUGAAGAAGUACGAAGGAUACCAACAAGUAAUUCUUUCAGAAGAUGACCUUCAGCAGAUCUACCAUCCUUAGAGAUACUCGCUAAUUAUAAAAUUACAUGGAAAGAGAAUCCAACACCAAUACCUCAAGAGAAAGGUGCAAGAUAUGUGAAAAAUCAUAGAAUCAUUCCCACUAAUUGACCUAGGUGUGUAUUACUACAACAUUAUCAAGUUCAAGUCAGAGACAAACAUAGCAAAAGCACUUCAGGAAAGGCCAUGGUUCAUAAAUGGCUACUAUCUAUCAAUACAGAAGUGGUCUCCAAACGUUGCAGCAAUAGAGGCUAUGUAAUGACCCGGGCGAUCAUUUUAAUAAUUAAUGUCUCGAUACCCUAUUAACUGCAUUUACCAUGCUUGUUUUUGUUAUUGUGAGUUGCGGGGAGGAUUUUUUUGGAGUUUCGGUGUGUUUUGGUAUACUUAGUCCCUAAUGAGACUUUAAGCUUUAGAAUUUAGAUUGUAAUUGUAGUACUGUGAAGACGGACUCGAAAUAGAAUUUUGUUAGUUCCAUUAUCUCCAAUGGGUGAUUUCAGUCAUUGGGGUGUGUUCGGAUUGUGUUUUGGAGGUAUGUAGCUAAUUUAGGCUUAAAAUGCCGAAAGUCGAAUUUUUUAAGUUUCUGGUUUGAUAGUGAGAUUUUGAUAUUAGAUUCGGAAUGGGAUUUCGGAAGUUGGAGUAGGUCCAUUGUGCACUUUAGGACGUGUGUGCAAAAUUUUAGGCCAAUCAGACCAGGUAUGAUAGACUUUUUGAUCGAAAGCGAAAAUUGAAAGUUUUGGAAAUUCUUAGGUUAGAAUUGGAGAGUGAUUUUUUUGAGAAAGUUCGAUGAUAUUUGGGUGAUUGUGGAUCAUCUGAUCAAAUCCGCGCAUUUCAUUCCUGAGUGUACUACCUAUUCUUUGGAGCGAUUGGCAGAGAUUUAUAUCCGGGAGGUUGUUCGUCUGCAUGGCAUUCCAGUUUUCAUUAUUUCAGAUAGAGGUACUCAGUUCAUAUCAUGGUUCUUAAGGGCCAUACAGUAUGAUUUAGGUACUGGUGUGGAGUCGAGCACAACAUUUCACCCCCAGACGGACGGAUAGUCGAGCGCACUAUUCAGAUUCUUGAGGAUUUUCUCUGUGCAUGUAUAAUGGAGUUUGGAGGUUCUUAGGAUCAUUUAUUGGCACUAGUGAAUUUUGCCUACAAUAACAGCUAUCAAUCCAGCAUUCAGAUGGCAAUGUAUGAGGCCUUGUAUGGUAAGCAGUGUAGAACCCCGAUGGGCUGGUUUGAAUCGGGUGAGGCUAGAUUAUUGGGCAUACACUUGGUUCAGGAUGCUUUGGAGAAGGCUAAGAUAAUUCAGGAUAGACUCCGUACAGCCUAGUCCAGACAUAAGAUUAACGCAAACCUAAAGGUUCGUGAUGUUUCCUAUAUGGUUGGAGAGCGGGUUCCACUUUGGGUUUUGCCUAUGAAGGGUGUUAUGAUAUUUGGGAAGAAAUGGAAGUUGAGUCUGAGGUUUAUUGGUCCUUUCGAGAUAUUAAGAUGUGUUGGGAAGUUUGCUUAUGAGCUUGCCUUACCUCCCAGCUUGGAAGUAUUUCUUUUGGUAUUUCAUAUUUUGAUGCUCCGGAAGUAUCACAGCGAUCCAUUGCACGUGUUGGAUUUCUGUUUAGUUAAGCUAGACAAGGAUCUAUCUUAUGUUGAAGUGCUAGUGGAAAUAUUAGACAGGCAAGUUUGGAAGCUGAGGUCAAAGAACAUUGUAUUAGUAAAUGUUUAGUGGCGGGGUCAAUCGGUCGAGGAGACGACUUUGGAGACCGAGCAAGACAUGCGCAUCCAUUACCGUCAUCUUUUCACUACUUCAGGCAUGUAUGUAUACUCGUUCGAGUACGAACUAAUGUUUUAAAAGGGGGGAUGUAGCGACCCAGCCGGUCGUUUUAACAAUUAACACCCCAAUACCCUAUUAACUUCAUUACCCGUGUUUGUUUUUUCUAUUAUCAAUUGUCAGGAGGAUUCGUUUGGAGUUUCGCAGUGUUUUAGGACACUUAGUCCCUAAAUGAAAAUCUAAUCUUUGGAAUUUGGACCGUUGUCAGAGUGGUAUGAAGACAACCUCGAAAUAUGUUGGUUCCUUAGCUCCGUUAGGUGAUUUUGAGCUUAGGGACGUGUGCAGAUUAUGUUUUGGAGGUCCGUAGCUAAUUUAGGUUUAAAAUGCCGAAAUUCGAAUUUUUGAAGUUUCUAGUUCGAUGGUGAGAUUUUGAUAUCGGGAUCAGAAUAGGAUUUCAGAAGUUGGAGUUAAUAUGUUGUGUAAUUUGGGACGUGUGCGCAAAAUUUCAGGUCAAUUAAACGAGGUUUGAUAGACUUUUUGAUCGAAAGCGGAAAUUGGAAGUUUUGGAAAUUCUUAGGUCUGUAUUGGAGAGUGAUUUGUACUAUUAGCGUUUUUUGAUGUGAUUCGAGGGUUGGAAGAAGUUUGUAUGAUGUUUUAGGACUGAUAGGGAUGUUUGGUUGAGGUCCCGGAGGCCUCGAGUGAGUUUAGGGUACUUAACGGAAGUUGAAUUAGACUUAGGACAUGUGAGACCGCAGGUGCAGUAAGGGAGUUGCAGGUGAGACCUUGUCUUCGCAGAAGUGGGACCAUAGGUGCAGUCUUAGAGCCGCAUAUGCGAUUUCACUAGCGGAAAAGGGGAAGAAUCGAACGUUUCGUCUCAAAACCUUAGAAAUUGAUUUGGGAGCUUAGGAUUGGCAAUUUUGAGAGUGAUUUUUGCCUAGGUAUUUUGGAUAAGUAAUUCUUGCUCAAUUUUAAUUAAUUUCCACGAAUCUAUGCUUAAAUUCAUCCUUUAAAUUCAAAUUUGGAGUAGAAAAUUGGAGAAAAGUUGGAAAAGUUAUUAGACCUAACUUUAGAGUUUUGAUCAAGAUUUUGAUGUUGGUUUGGAGUACUUUUUGUAUAUAUUAACUCUUGAGAGUGUGAGGAUUAUAAAUUUGUAAAUUCUACCCGAUGCGGAGGCGCCGACCGAGGGGUUUUUUGAGCGAUUUUCCUAAUUUCGCGUAUUUGCUUCGAAUUAAUUAGUUACUUGAAGUUAUAUUUACAUUAUUCAAUUACUUUAAAUAGCUUUGAGCCAUUUGGAGUCGGAUACUCGUGGCAAGAACGUGAUUUUGAGUUGAUUGAGCUGGUUCUGGGUAAGUGGCUCGUCUAACCUUGUGUGGGGGAACUCCUAUUAGAAAUUGGUGUUGUUGAUAUAUGAAAUGUGUUGUGAGUGAGGUGGACGAGCGUGUACAUGUGCUAAUUGUUGAAAAAUCUUGUUUUCAUUAAGUAACUAUAAUUGUGUUUUUCUUCCUUGUUGUACAUUACUUGCAAUUUAAACCUACUGUUAGAUUAAGGAAGCAUGUCUAAGUGACUUAAUUGCUUUAUUUGAACUCUAUGCAGCAUGCUAGGUUAGAAAUACUUGUUUUACCUUGGUAGAUAAUUGGAUUGAACUGAAUAUUUUCUGUGUUGCUGCUGUGUGUUUACUUUUGGACUAGGGGAUGGUAUUCCAGAAGAUCCUCAUGUUUGUUUACUUUGGGACUAAUGAUCGGUAUUCCAGUAGUCCCCCCUCCCCCUUCCCCGAACAUUUAUAUUUGGGACUAUGGGAUACCACCCGGUAGAUCUCAUAUACUGAGUAUUUACUUUGGGACUACGAAUUGGUAUUCUGAGAGUUUUCUCUGCAGCUUUAUGAUUUGGAUUAAUGGACGGUAUCCCCGGAGAUCCUGUGGACAUGUACGUUUGGGACUACCGGACGGUAUCCCGAGAUAUCCCCUGUUGCGUACUGAGUUAGAUUCCUUUCGUGUUUUUAUUUAUUAUAGCUUGUUAGCACUUAAAUUAUAUUGUCAUAUUCUAUAAUGUUUACCUUUUUUAUUUCAUCUAUAAUCAGCAGGGCCCUGACUUUCCUCAUCACUACCGAACCGAGGUUAGACUUGGCACUUACUGAGUAUCGCUAUGGUGUAGUCAUGUCUUUAUGCACAUGUUUUUCAUGUGCUGAUCCAGGUUCUUCGGCUCGGCCCUACCAUCCUUGAGGCGAGGCGAUCCUUUGGAGACUUCGAGGUAUAUCUGAUGCGUCUGCAUAACGAGGAGUCCCUCUCCAUUAUCUCUUGUAGUUUCAACCCUUCUGUAUUUACUUUAUUUUAGACAUUCUGGAGUUAGAGCACUGUGUAGUAGCCUUAUCUUGUGAUUUCAUGAGAUUCUGGGUUUUGGGAAGUUAUUCAGUUUUUGAGAUAUUGUAUUAGUAUAUGCCGAGUGGAAUCUUAUACAACUUUAUAUUGUUUAUCUUAAGUUUUUAUUA
rnacentral:lncRNA from 1 species